GCCGGAUCUUCCUCAUUUCCUCCUCCACGUUGCUCGCCCAGACUUCACAGAUUAUUUGGCUGGAAUCUGUAAGUGCAGCUGGCAUGUUGGCGGUCAGGAUGAGAGGUCAAAACCCCGACAAUCCCGCAGCGCUGGUGAAGGGGGCGGAGGGGGAGGCAGUGUGAUGACGAAAGACAACUCUGGGAGAGGAAGGAAGACGAGAGUUGAUGAAGAUUAGCGUUAGUACAACUUAACGUUUUCCUUUUUCUUGGCGAAGAAGACAACUCCUGUUCCUGAACACGUGUGGUCCUCCAUGUUUCCUUCUUCAAACUUGCCGAGUCCGGGAAGCGACGACAUCCGUUAGCAGUACAGAUGGAACUGUGAAUUUGUCCAGCAUGGCUCCCCCAGGCGUCUUACUGGGAGAGGACGCUGGCCUCUGUGCUGCCGUUGUUGAAGAGGAUCAUCUCAGCCAGUUUGUGGAACAGCUCGAUGGAUCGAGCCGUGAGCUCCGCCAGACUCCUGAUGGCUGCGGCAUGAACGUCCUGACAACAUUCAGGACAGACAGACAAAAUAAAAUAAUGUCAGUCAGUCAUCAGGGCACAGAAUCCACUGUGCCUGAUUGUCUCAGCCGCUCCAUUAAUAUCAUGUCGCAGCAACACUAUGUGUGUGUGUGAAGUUCUGAAAAACUGUAAUCAAAAUUGUAACCACUUUAUCAGCACUGCCGUGACUCACUGUGACUUCAACAAAACUACAGAGCCGAUGUAGUUAGCCUACACUUUUGCACGUGUGUGUGUGUGUGUGUGUGUGUGUGUGUGUUUGUCGGAGCCCCGCUCUCUCAAAUAUCGCAAUAAACAUACACAUACAUAUUUUUUUUGUACGACUUAUUCGUGCAUAACUGCAAAGUAUUGCGGGAAACCCUGCAGUAUUUAUUAACUACUAUGUUCGGUAAUUUCUAUAUGUAUUGUAGUGUUAUAUGGCGUGUAAUCAGGGCGUCAUUGGAAAUGAGAGCUUGCCCUCAACUGGCCCUCCCUGAAUAAUAAAGGUGACAUAUAUCA